rnacentral:lncRNA from 1 species
GGCAGGGUCAUGAGUCCCAGGGACUCUGGGAUUCUUACUUUCUGCAAAAUAUCCCGCAGCAGCUCAGAAUCUGAUGAGUCUCUUAACUUUGCUUCUAAGCUGUGUCCGGAGCGCCGGGGGUUUCAGCACGGAGACCCAUCCCGUCUGUCCCUGGACUCCCGCGAGCCCCGCGGGCCUCUCCGCUCGCCCCGCCGCCCACCUGCCAGGGUAAGGAGCACAGUGUGGGCGCCGCCAGGAAGCGGCGCUCGAAACUCUGCAGCAAGAGUUCGAUCCCCGUGUUCUCCUCGGGCGCCAUGACGUGGGCGGGGCCGCAGUGUUGCCGGGAGACCGAGCGGAAGGCCGACCUGGACUGAAGAGGGGGCGGGCCCAGGGCAGUGCGCG